rnacentral:lncRNA from 1 species
CAUUUGAAAGAGAUAAAGGAAGUUGAAAGCUGUCGGAUACUCGCGAAGACAACAUCGGACGUCCGAUAAAGAAUACAGCACUUCGAACGAUUGAAGAACUCCAUCACCAGACGUCCGAAAGAAUUAAGAAAUUCCUUCUAAAUCAUUAUCUGCUUUCAGACGCAAGCAUUAGAGGCACUGGACGUUCGAAAGAAUUAAGAUAAUUUCUCAAACUCACUGCCUGCUGUCAGACG